UAGCUCAGUGGUAGAGCACUUGCUUAGCAAGCGAAAGGCCCUGGGUUCGGUCCCCAG
rnacentral:tRNA from 1 species